rnacentral:rRNA from 1 species
CACGUAGGGUGCGAGCGUUGUCCGGAAUUAUUGGGCGUAAAGAGCUCGUAGGCGGUUUGUCACGUCUGCUGUGAAAUCCCGAGGCUCAACCUCGGGCCUGCAGUGGGUACGGGCAGACUGGAGUGCGGUAGGGGAGAAUGGAAUUCCUGGUGUAGCGGUGGAAUGCGCAGAUAUCAGGAGGAACACCGAUGGCGAAGGCAGUUCUCUGGGCCGUAACUGACGCUGAGGAGCGAAAGCGUGGGGAGCGAACAGG